UCUGUCAUCCCAUUGAUCUCCAGGGCUGACUGGGCUGGUCAGUUGGCUAGGCAGG
ensembl:misc_RNA 7SK 7SK RNA